rnacentral:rRNA from 1 species
GACGUAGGGCGCGAGCGUUGUCCGGAUUUAUUGGGCGUAAAGAGCUCGUAGGCGGCUUGUCGCGUCGACCGUGAAAACUUGGGGCUCAACCCCAAGCCUGCGGUCGAUACGGGCAGGCUCGAGUUCGGUAGGGGAGACUGGAAUUCCUGGUGUAGCGGUGAAAUGCGCAGAUAUCAGGAGGAACACCGGUGGCGAAGGCGGUUCUCUGGGCCUGUACUGACGCUGAGGAGCGAAAGCGUGGGGAGCGAACAGG